GAUGAACGCUAGCUACAGGCUUAACACAUGCAAGUCGCAGGGUAACAUGAGGAAAGCUUGCUUUCCUUGAUGACGACUGGCGCACGGGUGAGUAACGCGUAUCCAACCUUCCCAUAACUACGGGAUAACCCGUUGAAAGACGGCCUAAUACCGUAUGAUAUCGUUUGCUGACAUCAAAUAACGAUUAAAGGUUUAGCGGUUAUGGAUGGGGAUGCGUCUGAUUAGCUUGUUGGCGGGGUAACGGCCCACCAAGGCGACGAUCAGUAGGGGUUCUGAGAGGAAGGUCCCCCACAUUGGAACUGAGACACGGUCCAAACGCCUACGGGAGGCAGCAGUGAGGAAUAUUGGUCAAUGGGCGAGAGCCUGAACCAGCCAAGUAGCGUGCAGGACGACGGCCCUAUGGGUUGUAAACUGCUUUUAGGUGGGGAUAAAGUGCGUGACGUGUCAUGCAUUGCAGGUACCACAUGAAUAAGGACCGGCUAAUUCCG
rnacentral:rRNA from 1 species